AGAUGCAAUGAAAAAAAUCUAAUGACAGCCAAAACAGCCUUGAUUAUUUGUUAAACAAACAAGAAACAGUUGGCAUGUUCUUGUAACCUCCACAAAACCAACCUAUAUAAUGCAUUGCCAUUCUCUUCUCCAUUCAUAACUUAAGUGGCAAAACACACUUUUAACUCUAUCCCUACUGUGUUAAGCACUUCAGAAAAAGCUUUGGAAAACGUAAUGGAGAGUUUCAAGAUUGCUAAAGUUUUUACCAUCUGCAUCAUGGUUCUUGUUGCUUUCUCCAAUUUGGGAGCCUCAGCGGCGCUUGAAGAUGUUGCAGCACCUGCACCAUCACCAACAAGUGCUGGAACAGCGUUGUACGUACCAGCAGCACUUGCUGUAGUGGCUUCUCUCGUUGCUUGUAUCUUUUAAUUUUUGUAUCUGUGGAUGUCCUGUAUCCUUUCGAGUGGUAAUCUGGUUUUUAAUUUGCACAAGUAUUUAAGGAGGCAAGAUGCAUCCAUUUGUAUAAACAGAAAAAUGAGCAAUAUUUCUAACCAUAUAUAUGCAAAUCUCAUAAGCUAGACAAGCACUCCUGUUUUGGCUUCUGCUAUACACAGAAUAGAGAUUUUUCUAAAAAAAUAAUGACCAAAAUUAUGAGCUACAGGUAAAGAUUGUAUU
rnacentral:lncRNA from 1 species